rnacentral:rRNA from 1 species
AACGAACGCUGGCGGCGUGCCUAACACAUGCAAGUCGAACGAGAAAGGGGCUUCGGCUCGGAGUAGAGUGGGGCACGGGUGAGUAACACGUGGGAAACCUGCCACUACGAUUGGGAUGACGCGUCAAAAGAUGAGCUAAUACCGAAUAAGACCACAGUUCCCGCGGGGACAGGCGUGAGAGGUAGCCGCUGCUUGCAAGCUAUCACGCAGAGCUGGGCCUGCGUACCAUUAGCUAGUUGGUGGGGGAACGGCCUACCAAGGGUAAGAUGGUUGGCUGGUCUGAGAGGAUAAGCAGCCACACUGGAACUGGAAGACGAUCCAGAACACUACGGGAGGGAGCAGUGGGGAAUUUUGAGCAAUGGGAGCAAGCGGGAAUCAGCAACGCCGGGUGAGUGACUAAGGCCUUCAGGUCGUGAAGCUCUGUCGGGAGGAACGAAUGCUCCUGAGGUUAACACCCGCGGGUGGUGACGGUACCUGCAAAGGAAGCACCGGCUAACUCUGUG